rnacentral:rRNA from 1 species
CAAAGGAAAGUUGACGGGGGCCCGCACAAGCGGUGGAGCAUGUGGUUUAAUUCGAUGCAACGCGAAGAACCUUACCUGGGCUUGACACCCCGGGAAUCCCUUGGAAACAAGGGAGUGCCCUUCGGGGAACCUGGAGACAGGUGCUGCAUGGCUGUCGUCAGCUCGUGUCGUGAGAUGUUGGGUUAAGUCCCGCAACGAGCGCAACCCUUAUCCCCAGUUGCCAUCAGGUAAAGCUGGGAACUCUGGGGAGACUGCCGGUGAUAAACCGGAGGAAGCGGGGAUGACGUCAAGUCCUCAUGGCCCUUACAUCCCGGGCUACACACGUGCUACAAUGGCAGGUACAGAGGGCUGCGAAGCCGCGAGGUGGAGCGAAUCCCAGAAAACCUGUCUCAGUCCGGAUUGAAGUCUGCAACUCGACUUCAUGAAGGCGGAAUCGCUAGUAACCGCGAAUCAGCAGGUCGCGGUGAAUACGUUCCCGGGCCUU